UGGGGAAUUUUGGACAAUGGGGGCAACCCUGAUCCAGCAAUGCCGCGUGAGUGAAGAAGGCCUUCGGGUUGUAAAGCUCUUUUGUCAGGGAAGAAACGGUGAUCUCUAAUAUAGAUUGCUAAUGACGGUACCUGAAGAAUAAGCACCGGCUAACUACGUGCCAGCAGCCGCGGUAAUACGUAGGGUGCAAGCGUUAAUCGGAAUUACUGGGCGUAAAGCGUGCGCAGGCGGUUAUAUAAGUCAGAUGUGAAAUCCCCGGGCUCAACCUGGGAACUGCAUUUGAGACUGUAUGGCUAGAGUGUGUCAGAGGGGGGUAGAAUUCCACGUGUAGCAGUGAAAUGCGUAGAUAUGUGGAGGAAUACCGAUGGCGAAGGCAGCCCCCUGGGAUAACACUGACGCUCAUGCACGAAAGCGUGGGGAGCAAACA
rnacentral:rRNA from 2 species